rnacentral:rRNA from 1 species
GACGGAGGGCGCAAACGUUGUUCGGAAUCACUGGGCGUAAAGGGCGCGUAGGCGGGACAGUAAGUCAGACGUGAAAUCCCGGGGCUCAACUCCGGGACUGCGUUUGAAACUGCUAUCCUUGAGUGCAGGAGAGGAAGGCGGAAUUCCAGGUGUAGCGGUGGAAUGCGUAGAUAUCUGGAAGAACACCAGUGGCGAAGGCGGCCUUCUGGACUGACACUGACGCUGAGGCGCGAAAGCUAGGGGAGCAAACAGG